UUUUUAUCAAAUUUGAGGCGGCCGGGAUCUUCUAAACAUUUGCUAUAACCUUAAAUGACGUUAAAUGACAGCUCUGUAUCCUUCGGAUGCGUCCGGAAUUAAUUUUUGGCACUCGGUUUGCUCGAAGAUCACGUGAUCAAGCUCACCAUCUGCUAGCUCGCAUCUCAGAUUUACAUUGCCGAACGCAGCUAUUGUGUGUGUGUGGAGAACAGGCACUGCUUUCCAUGCCGUUCAACGUGACAAACGACAUGAAAUACGAUCAGUACGAUGUUUCCAAUUUUCCAGUAACUAGUCAGAAACUUGGCACGGGACAGAUGUCAGAGUACAGAGUUCCCUCCGUAUGAGAGUAGUUAUCGACAAACGAGAGUGUAGAACAAUGCAAAAGUGGCAUUAAAAAAAAAGAAAAGACAAAUGGAAAUUUAGCUAAAGGCUAACAAUAUCUCACAGCAG